rnacentral:rRNA from 1 species
ACAUGCAUAUAGAAUAGUGUUAAUGCAUUGGAUCCCAUUGGAACUCUGCAGUUAAGAACGCUCGGGCUAGAGUAGUACUAGGAUGAGUGACUGCCUGGGAAGUCCUAUUGUUUUACAUGCC